CUGGUGACCAUUAUGGCGAGCACAGCGUCGGACAUACCGCAGCUGCUCUGCUGCCGGAAGAUGGAAAUGUUUUUGGAAGCAAGUUCGGAGCAUUUGUUCCAUUCAUGCCUGCUCCCUCCCUCCUCCUGCCCUCUAUUUUUCAAAUUGCUGCAAGAAAAACCUGAAGGGAAGUGUGAAGAGUCCUGUUUGGCACAUGAGGAACAGAAAGUCGAUGAUUUUACCCCAGGUCACACGAGAAGCUGGCAGCAACCUCAGGAAUCACGAGGAACUCCUUGGGAUGUGGAGCGUGCCCCUGAGUCCUCCGGAGGCUGGCCCAGCCUGGUGGCACAUCUUGGUCAUCCCCUGGCUCCAAGGAGGUUGGCUGAGAUCCCUGAAGAGGGAAAGGUGGCAGAAGCUGGCUGCUGUGUGUCAAGAGGUCCCUUUUAGGUACUGGAUGAUAUCCCCUUUUGUUAAGUGCCACUGUCCUACAUGGCCCAAUUCUUUAAAAAAGGAAAAAGAAAUGCAAAAGAGGCAGAGAGAAAGGGAAAGAGCCCUUCCUCGCAGGUCCUUUCCUCAGAAAGACGCAUCAUGCUUGGUUUCCCAGAGAAUGAGUCACACGCGGCCUCGCCAGCAUCCUGCCUCUCACAGCAAGAUGGAGGAGGGGUGAGAAGGUGUUGGGCUGGAAUUUCCAAGAAAAAGAGAACUUCCAAAGAAGAGCUGAGCGUGUGCUGUCACGGAAGUAACGCUGCCACCACCACGUUGAUAUGUUUUGUAACUUCCUGACAUCGGCAUGCUGGAGGUGGCCUCCAGCAUGGGGAUGCAAAGCUGAGCACCACGGAGGAGGAAAUUCAGCCUGUCCUUCUGAUAACACCUUUGAGACGGGAUCAGCACUUCUCUCUCAAUAAUUAACACAAGCAAGCAGGCUUGGGUUUUUUUGCCACAAAGCAACAGGCGUGCUGUAGUCCUGAAAGCAAACACCCAGUGGCACAGAUUUCUGUAACAAAUAGCUAUUUCUGCACUUUCUGUAGAGUUUUUUUUAAAUUUUGUAGCUGUUUAACAUUAGGUUACAGAUAGACACCACAUAUUUCUUUGGUCUGCACUCCCAAGUGUGACUUUCUUGCCUUGAUUUUUGGAUGACUAGCUAGUAUCUAUCCUUUCAAAACUGUGGGUUGCCUUGGAAGAGGGCAGUCAGAAUUAGUCAGGGUAAGUCUGACUAUGCAGAUCUGGGGAAGGUUGAAGGUCCUUUCAUUGCCUUAGGGUUAAAUAACUUCAAGACAGCCUCUCUACAACCUGCUGUGUCCGCCUCUGACUCUCCAUACACUGCAUCUCCAUCUUCUGUCUAUCUAUGCCCUGCCUCUCCAUACCUUGCCUAUCCAACAUCUACCUCUCCAUUCCCUUCUUCUGCACAUCUUUUCUCUCCAUCCUUUGCUUCUCCAUUGCCUGCCCCACAAUAAAGCUGCCUUCACCCACA
rnacentral:lncRNA from 1 species